rnacentral:rRNA from 1 species
UGGGGAAUAUUGCACAAUGGGCGCAAGCCUGAUGCAGCCAUGCCGCGUGUGUGAAGAAGGCCUUCGGGUUGUAAAGCACUUUCAGCGGGGAGGAAGGCGAUAAGGUUAAUAACCUUGUCGAUUGACGUUACCCGCAGAAGAAGCACCGGCUAACUCCGUGCCAGCAGCCGCGGUAAUACGGAGGGUGCAAGCGUUAAUCGGAAUUACUGGGCGUAAAGCGCACGCAGGCGGUCUGUCAAGUCGGAUGUGAAAUCCCCGGGCUCAACCUGGGAACUGCAUUCGAAACUGGCAGGCUAGAGUCUCGUAGAGGGGGGUAGAAUUCCAGGUGUAGCGGUGAAAUGCGUAGAGAUCUGGAGGAAUACUGGUGGCGAAGGCGGCCCCCUGGACGAAGACUGACGCUCAGGUGCGAAAGCGUGGGGAGCAAACAGG